AGGACGAACGCUUGCGACGUGCCUAAGAAAUGCAAGUCGAGCAAGGUAGCAAUACCUAGCGGCGAACGGUCGCGUAACACGUAAGCAACCUGCCUCAAAGACCGGGACAACGUUUCGAAAGGGGCGCUAAUACCGGAUGUGCCCAUAGGGAGUCAUCUCCUUGUGAGUAAAUCGAGCAAUCGGCUUUGAGAGGGGCUUGCGGCCUAUCAGCUAGAUGGUGGGGUAACGGCCUACCAUGGCUUCGACGGGUAGCUGGUCUGAGAGGAUGGUCAGCCGGAUUGGGACUGAGAUACGGCCCAGACUCCUACGGGGGGCAGCAAUUAGGAAUCUUGCGCAAUGGGCGAAAGCCUGACGCAGCGACGUCGCGUGGGGGAGGAAGGCUUUCGGGUUGUAAACCCCUUUUAUCGAGGAAGAACAAUGACGGUACUCGAUGAAUAGCCCCGGCUAACUCCGCGCCAGCAGCCGC
rnacentral:rRNA from 1 species